rnacentral:tRNA from 1 species
GUCCAGGGGCGGGAAUCGAACCCACGACCUUCCGCUUACCGAGCAGAUGCCAUGUCCACUAGACUACCCUGGA